GGAGGAGUUAAUGCAAAACAGCAAAGUCUUUCAUGUGUACUUAUCUGACAGCAGAAAGGAUGACAGAGAGCAGUGGACUCACAGUUUAACAAUAUGGACUUCAGGGCAGGACUGCUGCUUUUAACUGUGUUCUCGGCAGGUGUUGAUAGUCAGACUGUAACACAGUCUGAAUCAGUGGUGAAAAGGCCAGCAGAAUCCCACAAGCUGACCUGUACAGGCUCUGACAUUGACUUCAGCAGCUACUGGAUGGCCUGGAUCAGACAGGCUCCUGGAAAAGGACUGGAGUGGAUUGCAAUCAUCGAAGAUGACAGUGAUAGCAUCUAUUAUUCUCAGUCAGUUCAGGGCAGGUUUACCAUCUCCAGAGACAACAGCAAAGAGCAGCUGUAUCUGCAGAUGAACAGCCUGAAGACUGAAGACACUGCUGUUUAUUAUUGUGCUCGAGAGCCACAGUGACUGGAGCUGGUUGAAUGGCUGUACAAAAUCCACCAUAAUGUAUGUUUGUUAAAAAUACAACUUAAGAUUAUUCUCUCAUA